GACGAACCGUGCGAACGUUGUUCGGAAUCACUGGGCUUAAAGGGCGCGUAGGCGGGCUGGCAAGUCAGGGGUGAAAGCCCACGGCUCAACCGUGGAAGUGCCUUUGAUACUGCCAGUCUGGAGGGAGGUAGGGGCGUGCGGAACUUCCGGUGGAGCGGUGAAAUGCGUAGAUAUCGUUUGGAACGCCAAUGGUGAAAACAGGUAGCUGGGGGUGUGCUGGACGCUGAGACGCGAAAGCGUGGGGAGCAAACAGG
rnacentral:rRNA from 1 species